rnacentral:rRNA from 1 species
CAGUAGCCGCGGUAAUACGAAGGGGGCUAGCGUUGUUCGGAAUUACUGGGCGUAAAGCGCACGUAGGCGGACUUUUAAGUCAGGGGUGAAAUCCCGGGGCUCAACCUCGGAACUGCCUUUGAUACUGGAAGUCUUGAGUGUGGAAGAGGUAAGUGGAAUUGCGAGUGUAGAGGUGAAAUUCGUAGAUAUUCGCAGGAACACCAGUGGCGAAGGCGGCUUACUGGUCCACAACUGACGCUGAGGUGCGAAAGCGUGGGGAGCAAACAGGAUUAGAUACCCCCGUAGUCCCUGUCUCUUAUAC